rnacentral:sRNA from 1 species
UUUAAAGGAUCAAAUAAAUCUGUUGGAUCAGUCAAUCAACCAGGAGACCAAUCUAAAUCCAAAAAAUCUAAAGGAAAUACAAGGAAUGUUGGAGGAGUCAUUGGUAACCUUAGUGCUGGUCUAAAGGGAAGUUUACCUAAAGUUGGAGGUAAAUCUGGAAAUGUAGGAAGUCCAAAGGGAUCUAAAGGAGGAUCUAAAAAAGG